rnacentral:rRNA from 1 species
AGUGAACGCUGGCGGCGUGCUUAACACAUGCAAGUCGAACGAGAACGGAAUAUAGCUUGCUAUAUUUGUCAGCUAAGUGGCGCACGGGUGAGUAAUGUAUAGAUAACCUGCCCUUAAGAAAGGAAUAACAGUUGGAAACGACUGCUAAUGCCCUAUAUGCCUUUAAUACAUAAGUAUGCAAGGGAAACGCUUUAGUGCUUAAGGAUGGGUCUGUAUGGUAUCAGCUUGUUGGUGGAGUAAUGGCUCACCAAGGCUAUGACGCCUAACUGGUUUGAGAGGAUGAUCAGUCACACUGGAACUGAGACACGGUCCAGACUCCUACGGGAGGCAGCAGUGGGGAAUAUUGCACAAUGGACGAAAGUCUGAUGCAGCAACGCCGCGUGGAGGAUGACACAUUUCGGUGCGUAAACUCCUUUUAUAUAGGAAGAUAAUGACGGUACUAUAUGAAUAAGCACCGGCUAACUCCGUGCCAGCCGCCGCGGUAA